rnacentral:lncRNA from 1 species
AUCUAUCUGGGCCUUAUCCUUCUUUAGGUCAUCCAAGCCCUCCUUGAUAUCCUCUUUCCUUUGGAGGGCUUCCACUAACUCAACAACCUAGGCACGAACUCUAUCACGCUCAGCCACAAGUUGGUCGCAACAGAGAAUCAAUGUCUCCUGUUCCUUCUUCAGGGUGUCAUUAGAAGUUUCGAAGAAGCCCACCUGAGUUUGCAAGCGAUUGGCCUUAUCUUUUGCUCUGCCUGCUAAAGUAUACGCCUCGAGUUUGGCCUUCGGAAGCUCAUCCACCACCCACUAUCACUGGGUCAACUCAUCUUUGACCUUCUUCAAUGUAUCAUUAAACUUCAGUGCUACUUGCUUUUAAGACUUUAUAAUAAUUAAGUAUAUAGUCUAUAUUUGUUUGCAUAUGCCGACCAGUCACAAGGAUGGAGUCCUGUGUAGCAAGGACAGAGAACUCAGUUUUAGUAACAAGGUCCAAAAGGGUGGGUGGUGUAGUUGUAUUUGAAGGACCUAGAAGUACAAGCACAACCGACGUCAAUAAAAAAAAAUGAAUGACUUCACAAAAUCGUGAAGAAAACAUAGACACCACACCUGAAGAAGGAAUUUCAGUGAGCAAUAGAUAGCUUACCUAAGUUGAGCCAACAUUGAAAAAAAAUCACACCUAGAGGGGGGGCCUAUGACGUAGUCCCGAGGGGACCCUCUUAGAGCUGAUGUUGGGGAAAUGGUACCGGAUGAGGCUCUGGACUACCUUCCACUAAUCAUUGUGGAAGUUUAAACAACACUUGUUGAGGGAGCAGCAGGCUCCCAGAUGGUCAACCCUCAAGGCUUUGGUUAGCCCUGUCCCUUAACUACGAUUAUUUUCUUUUACCUCUUGGAUGGCUUCUCAGACUGCUUCCUUAGUCUUUUCCUGGCAGGAGCGACUAUCGCAGUAGCAAGGACAACAUCCAAGAUUUGGAAUCUAUCUGUCUAGUUGCAGGAAUUUAGGUAAUUGAAGUAACUGCACAUAGGAAAAACAUUAUCAAAAUCAAUAAAAAUAAGCCACAAUAUCAGCACUUAGAAAAAAUUUGACAAGGUUAAAGGAAAGGUAUGACGGAAAAUGGGAGGCCCCAUCAUGACGACCCUCCAACCCUGUUGUGCCACCCCAUCCGUUGUUUAACGAACUCUCGAAGCUAAUGACCAUGUUCACCAGAGGGACAUCUAAAGGGACCUCCUCCUCCUCCUCUUCAUCAUCCCCUGGAGCUUGGAAGAUGUUUCCUCACCUGGAGCUUGAGCUUGACUACAAGAAGCAAUGGAUUGGCUAGUUCUUGCACCAACAACAAUGGUUGUGUUGGUCCCCACAACAACAGGAGGUUUCUCACCCUUCGAGGGGAUAACGGGUAAGGAACGAUGCAUGCCAUCUGGAACCCUUCAUUUUUUAUCCAAACAUUUCUUGUAAUUUACAAUGUCUUGCAAAGGUUCCUCCAUUAGCCUGUGGAGGAUUAAGGCCACUAUAUCUUCUAAAUCAAAAGGCCACGACUGGUCCCAUAGCUUAAAUUUCC